UACAUGGGGGUGCAAACGUUGCUCGGAAUUACUGGGCGUAAAGCGCGUGUAGGCGGUCGGGCAAGUCGGAUGUGAAAGCCCAGGGCUCAACCCUGGAAGUGCACUCGAUACUGCUUGGCUAGAGUCCCGGAGAGGAUGGUGGAACUCUCGGUGUAGAGGUGAAAUUCGUAGAUAUCGAGAAGAACACCGGUGGCGAAGGCGGCCAUCUGGACGGUGGACUGACGCUGAGACGCGAAAGCGUGGGGGAGAAACAGG
rnacentral:rRNA from 1 species